rnacentral:rRNA from 1 species
UGGGGAAUUUUGGACAAUGGGCGAAAGCCUGAUCCAGCAAUGCCGCGUGUGUGAAGAAGGCCUUCGGGUUGUAAAGCACUUUUGUCCGGAAAGAAAUCCUUGGCUCUAAUACAGUCGGGGGAUGACGGUACCGGAAGAAUAAGCACCGGCUAACUACGUGCCAGCAGCCGCGGUAAUACGUAGGGUGCAAGCGUUAAUCGGAAUUACUGGGCGUAAAGCGUGCGCAGGCGGUUUGCUAAGACCGAUGUGAAAUCCCCGGGCUCAACCUGGGAACUGCAUUGGUGACUGGCAGGCUAGAGUAUGGCAGAGGGGGGUAGAAUUCCACGUGUAGCAGUGAAAUGCGUAGAGAUGUGGAGGAAUACCGAUGGCGAAGGCAGCCCCCUGGGCCAAUACUGACGCUCAUGCACGAAAGCGUGGGGAGCAAACAGGAUUAGAUACCCUGGUAGUCCACGCCCUAAACGAUGUCAACUAGUUGUUGGGGAUUCAUUUCCUUAGUAACGUAGCUAACGCGUGAAGUUGACCGCCUGGGGAGUGCGGUCGCAAGAUUAAAACUUAAUGAAUUGACGGGGUCAUAGCUGUUUCCU